UACAGCCACAUCACGUUGAAAAACCGGUUCCCGUACGAUCAUCGAAGUUAAGCAAUGUUGAGCCUGGUCAGUACCUAAAAGGGAGACACUUUUUGGAAAUACAAGCUGCUGUAAG